ACUUUGAAUUUCUCUGUAUCUUGAUCUUGCAUAUUGGGACUUGCUCCUUGGGUUGCCCGUUGCCCCAGUCAUGGGUUUCCCUCUCUACUAUCUCAGAUGUAUCUUGAGUUCACUUCCAUUUCCUGGACAAACACUUGCAUGUCAGAUUGCAGCCCUCCUCUGUGCAAUAAUUCCCUGGAGACAAAGGUUGAAUUUCCUCUGCCAUUUCAUGGUCUAACCAAGAUUUUGAUUUAGCUCAUUAUUUUGUGCUUGAGACAAUUUUAUUAUCAAACCAAACUGCUGAAUGCAUGCUUGUCUGAAA